AAGGGGCUGUCCCACUUUUAGGGCCCCUGUCCCAUUUGCCCUCGACUCAUACUCGCAGCAUGGUCGUCACGAGGUCGUAGCUAGGCCGUGAUGCUGGUCGUAGCUGCUCGCGGCAUCAAGUAGGCCGGGACGUAUUUUCUAGCCUGAUG